AUUGAACGCUGGCGGAAUGCUUUACACAUGCAAGUCGAACGGCAGCACGGACUUCGGUCUGGUGGCGAGUGGCGAACGGGUGAGUAAUGUAUCGGAACGUGCCCAGUCGUGGGGGAUAACGUAGUGAAAAUUACGCUAAUACCGCAUACGAUCUAUGGAUGAAAGCGGGGGAUCGCAAGACCUCGCGCGAUUGGAGCGGCCGAUAUCAGAUUAGGUAGUUGGUGGGGUAAAGGCCCACCAAGCCAACGAUCUGUAGCUGGUCUGAGAGGACGACCAGCCACACUGGAACUGAGACACGGUCCAGACUCCUACGGGAGGCAGCAGUGGGGAAUUUUGGACAAUGGGCGCAAGCCUGAUCCAGCCAUUCCGCGUGCAGGAUGAAGGCCCUCGGGUUGUAAACUGCUUUUGUACAGAACGAAAAGGUUUCUAUUAAUACUAGGAGCUCAUGACGGUACUGUAAGAAUAAGCACCGGCUAACCACGUG
rnacentral:rRNA from 1 species